rnacentral:rRNA from 1 species
UACCAGGCCUCCCACACCACCCUGAACGCACCCGAUCUCGUCUGAUCUCGGAAGUUAAGCAGGGUUGGGCCUGGUUAGUACUUAGAUGGGAGCCCAUUGUAUUUUCAAUGGCCUCGUAU